rnacentral:rRNA from 1 species
GAUGAACGCUAGCUACAGGCUUAACACAUGCAAGUCGAGGGGCAGCGGGAUUGAAGCUUGCUUCAAUUGCCGGCGACCGGCGCACGGGUGAGUAACGCGUAUCCAACCUUCCGUACACUCAGGGAUAGCCUUUCGAAAGAAAGAUUAAUACCUGAUGGUAUGAUGAGAUUGCAUGAUAGCAUCAUUAAAGAUUUAUCGGUGAUGGAUGGGGAUGCGUCUGAUUAGCUUGUUGGCGGGGUAACGGCCCACCAAGGCGACGAUCAGUAGGGGUUCUGAGAGGAAGGUCCCCCACAUUGGAACUGAGACACGGUCCAAACUCCUACGGGAGGCAGCAGUGAGGAAUAUUGGUCAAUGGACGAGAGUCUGAACCAGCCAAGUAGCGUGCAGGAUGACGGCCCUAUGGGUUGUAAACUGCUUUUAUAAGGGAAUAAAGUGAGUCUCGUGAGACUUUUUGCAUGUACCUUAUGAAUAAGGACCGGCUAAUUCCG